CACCGGCGGCUCGAGUGGUAACCGUUAUUAUUGGGUUUAAAGGGUCUGUAGCCGGCCUGGUUAGUCCUUUGGGAAAUCCGGCAGCUCAACUGUCGGGCUUUCAGAGGAUACUGCCAGGCUCGAGACCGGGAGAGGUGAGAGGUACUUCAGGGGUAGGGGUGAAAUCUUGUAAUCCUUGAAGGACCACCAGUGGCGAAGGCGUCUCACCAGAACGGAUCUGACGGCAAGGGACGAAAGCUAGGGGCACGAA
rnacentral:rRNA from 1 species